CUAAGACAGAAGUUUUAAAGAGAGCCACACUAAAAGAGAAGUUGCACUAGUCUCAGUCUUGAGCCGAAUCUGAAUGAGCACCCCAGACUUAUCACAGUGCAUAAUAAGAAUAAAGACACUGUCACCUGCCUGCACACCAGUCUCCAUGGAGGUAAAACCAGACCUGCCAACAGCUGGCCCAAGCCAAAUCCAGACUGCCCAGAGCACUGACAAAUGCACAUGGAUACACCUUUCUGACCCACUUGGUUUCCCAGAGACAGCCUUCCAGCCCUAGGCUGUCUUCCUUAACAAGGCAAUGCAAAGAAAAAGUAAUUGCAUGUGGGUAGAAUCUUCUAAGAACUCUUAAUAUGUGGAACAUGUGGGUGAAAAUGCUCUGCCUUACUAAAGGGACAACAGCAUUAACUCCUGAAUCUUUAACGGCACUGACAGAAAAGUAAUUGCUGGCAAUUUUAAUCAAUCCAGAAUGAUUUGAACUCAGUAUCUUUGAAAUAUGAAGCUGACAUUUCUUUCAUUCAUUAUGUGAUCCUUAAGUUAACAUCCAUAGCAAUUUUUUUUAAAAAUGCCAUUCUGGCUACCUGAAACUCAAUAAAUAACUAAGAUUAAGAGGAAAAAAAACCCUUCAAAGUAGAGGUUAGAGUUUGCAUUUCUCUGAUUUCUUAACUCAUGCUAUAUUUAUUUUGCAACCACAAGUAUGAAAUAAAAUAUAAAAUAAAGAGUGAGAGGAGUCGUCCAGUCCUAGGAAGAAACAUCCAGAGAUAUACAGGCUCCAUUGAAGGUCUGCUGAAUUCUCCAGGCACAGCCAUCUCUCUAUGUCUUUACCAGGGCUGAAGCCUUAGUUCAUUACUAUUAUCCUUGCUCUAAAAAAAAAAGUACGCAGGACUUUAUCACAACCCAACAGAACAAAGCUCUCAGUCAUCACUUCAUACUUUCAACUGCCUUUUUUCCAAGCACCCUGAGGUACCACACUUAUUUUAGAGCUGUGUCCUAAAUAGGUGAAACAAUGGGGAAUUUUGGCUGAGGUCACACAGCAGCACAUGGCAAAGCACAUAUAGCAGCCCAGGUCCCUCUCAGUGACAUUACUGUCACCAGAUUUCUGAACCAGAAAGUUUAUAUGAUCACACCAUGGGAUCACCACAAAGCGCAGAUUUCCUGUACUUAUUAUCGCUCUUAAUGUCACUAUUUGAAGAGGCAGAGGAUGAAAUCUUGGGGUUGAAAAAACACAAAUUCUAAGCAGAUCCUUAGCAGGGACACCUCCCACUAUCCCAGGUUGUUCAGAGCCCUGUCCAACCUGACCUUGAACAGUUCCAGGAAUGGGGCAGCCACAGCAACCUGUGCCAGCGCCUCCCCACCUUCACAGGGACGAUUUCCUUCCUCAUAUCCAAUCUAAACCUCCUCUCUGUCAGUGUAAAGCCAUUGCCCCUUGUCCUGUCACUAUAUGGUUUUGUAAAAUAAUUUAUUUGAUCUUUCCAGAUACAACACUGGCUGAGCUCUACAAUGCUCUAACACAUGUUUGAGACAGCCCUGACAUUUUAAUAAAUAUACUCCAUUUACCUUUGAGGAAAAAUACUGAACUGGAAGGAAAAAAGAACCCUGAUGGCUGCAUUUGUUUAAUUUUAGAAGGAGACAGCUGUACUUCUUGUUCAGUGAAGUGCCACUCAUGAUUCUCCAGCCAGGAGCACUAAAAUCCACAGCAUUAUUUAAAGCAAGUCUGCCAAUUUAAUUAUUUGCCACAGAAAAUUUCAGGGAGGAGGCAGAAGGUUUAUUUUGGUAAGAAAUUCAAGCUUCAUGUCUCUAGACUGAAAUAUUCACUUUCUAGAAAACAAAUGUCAUUCUGAGCAGAGGAGAUGCAUUCUAAAUAAAAAUCACAACAAAUUCAAUAAAAAUCUUCAUGGGGGCUAGAAGUGGGAGAGCAGCACUUCUGAAGGAACAGGACAAGCGUAUUUGUGACUGCACUAUUUGUCACCACAUUCAUUUGGAAGAUUUUUUCUUUUUUGUGUUUGAAUGGAAAACAACCACUAAAAGCCCAUUAAAAAAAUAUAUAGUUAAACUGCAUUUGCCUAACCAUCAGCUAAAAUGACUGACUCACUUUUUCAGGCUAGACCUUCUUUUCCCCUCACUAUUACAAUGACUUUUUGAGAGGAGUCUAUGCUCACACACAUUCAAAACAGACCUUUGGCUGGAUUCAUCAAUCAGCUCAUCACAAAGUUUAAAAGUAACAACAACUCCUUUUACUUUUUUUCAGUUGUCCAAAUUAUGAAGAGGAAUCAAAAUGAUCAAGCAAUGUUUAUAUGAAGCCAUUCUGGUUUUCACAAAAUGCACAGAAAACUUAGCGGAGAAUGGGCUGUCAAAGGCACAUUUUUAAAAGAGGCAAGGAUGAACCUUGGAAAAGCUCAUCUCUCCUGGCAAAAAUAUUUUUAAAACAAGAGUCAUGGUUCUCUAUUUACACUGUGUGCUGUGAUGUAUUUUUGUUUUGGAGAGGGCUUUGUUUCUCAUAAUUAAACAAUCACUUCUCUUAUUUGUAUUAAAGCCAAAUAAUUUUUGUCAGUUGCAAACAGUUUGAGUUAAAAAGAAAAUAAAGCAGAGCUAGAUAUAACUCAUAAAAGGUAGUACCAAGUGUUCUUUAAGAUCCCAGUGAGAGAUGAUUUCACUCUCUGGAAACUUGUAACUGAAUAGUUUUAUGUCUGUCCUGAACAGAAUUCCAGUGACCCACCCUCCAGCUAAGGCAAUUCCAACUCAGAAGUCUAAGUUACAGAUACAGAUAAUUUUAGUAUCCAAAGUGAUAUUAUUCUCUCUUGCAGUCAACAAAUUACAUACACAUUUUUGAAAAUAAGCUUUGUUCGGGCACCAAAUGAGACAACUCUCCCAUUUUUUUCUUUUGUUUUAAAGAAUGAGGGGGCAUUUGAGACUGAGAUUUAACUUCAAACAGAAAUUUUAAAAAACCUAAAACCACAACCAAUCAAAAAACCUUAAAAUUCUUACUUUGGGUAGUCAUUUCCUGUUCUGCAGUGAUCAAGAGGUGGACAGCAGGGGAAAGGGAAGGAUCUCACAGUGCAAGAACAGGUAACACCAAUGUUAUUUAUCAGGAGUACAGCCCCAGAGAGAGACUUUUUACUGGAACAGCUCCAAUUUCUAAGGAAUCAAAGAGCAUUAGCCAGGCAAGGUUUUAGUGACACAGUGCCAUGGCCAAAGGAUUAGAUACUGGAUAUGGAACAGAACCUCUUACAAAGGCUCAUAGCCCAGUAUAACUUGAUUUUUUUUUUAUGCUAAAAUAACCCUAGAACAUAAAAAAAUAAAAUUUAAAAAAAAAACCAAGAAACUUGUAUCCUGAAGUUGUUAUUGAAUUUUCGUGAUAUGCGGGAAGAGUUGGAAAGUGCAUAGAUGGAAAUCUUUUUGUUGCAUUUAUCACAGCAGGAGAUCAGGAGACAGGACCAUGCAUCUGAUCAAGUGACAGCAAAAGGCGCUUUUUAAAAUACAAGAAAUUCCAUUUAAGGACAACACACUCUGACUGCCAGGUACUGGACAAAGCUUUAUUUUUCACAUGUCUAGAACAGAGGCAGCUUCAUUUGUCCAUGAGAAGCUUCUUAACUACGGAUGUCUUAAUCCAGGCUCAGUGAAGAAGACUGUUUUGUGUGUUGUAUGCUUUAAGUCAAGGACCUAAUAAACUGGAAGGCACAACAAAACAAAAGAAGUAUCUCACAAACUUUACAGACAGACAAAAUAAUCAUGAGUACGGCCAAGUUAUGUGACUGCUGAAGGAGCCAGACUGCAAAGUGGAAAAUCCCAUCAGAGCCAAGCAAGGAGGAAGCCAACUAAGACUGGCUACUUUCCACCACCAAAUGUCAGUCUCUGGCAGGUGAAAAAUCCAAGGCUACAAGUUUACACUGCAAGACUAUCCCACUGUGCACUGUAUUUUCUGCUCUGCUGGUACCCAGUGCUCCCCCACCUCCCGUGGGUUUAGCUUCACAAGAAAAGCUUCACCCCACUUCCCAUCUGGCAGUACUCACCAAUAG